AUUUUUACCUUUGUAACAUAAUGAAAAACAGUAUAAACAUAUCUUGGUGGUGGAACUCUCUUAACUAAUAAGUGAGUUUAUACCUGUAUGUAAAAAUAUAUUAAAAAGGCUUAUC
rfam:Polaribacter sp. MED152, complete genome.